rnacentral:rRNA from 1 species
GAUGAACGCUGGCGGCGUGCCUAAUACAUGCAAGUCGAGCGAACAGACGAGGAGCUUGCUCCUCUGACGUUAGCGGCGGACGGGUGAGUAACACGUGGAUAACCUACCUAUAAGACUGGGAUAACUUCGGGAAACCGGAGCUAAUACCGGAUAAUAUAUUGAACCGCAUGGUUCAAUAGUGAAAGACGGUUUUGCUGUCACUUAUAGAUGGAUCCGCGCCGCAUUAGCUAGUUGGUAAGGUAACGGCUUACCAAGGCAACGAUGCGUAGCCGACCUGAGAGGGGGACGGGCCACCGUGGACGUGAGCCCGGGCCCAGCCCCCAGCGGGAGGAAGAAGGAGGGAUGUUGCCGAAAGGGGGAAAGGCCGGACGGGGCACCGCGGGGGGAUGAAGGAGGUUUUUGGGAUGUAAAAACUUUUUUAUGAGGAAAAAAAAAAUGUGAAAGGAAAUAUGCAGUUUUGCAGGGAACCUAAUAAGAAGCCCAGGGAAAACCAGGUG